rnacentral:misc_RNA from 1 species
GAAUGAGAACCGGUCCGCGUGGUCAGUCGAAAGACCCCACGUGCCAGUAAGAGACCGUAACCCUCCACCCUUGUGUAUUAUUCAACUGUUGCUUUGGUGGGCCGCAAACCUUCGGGUGAGCACCGGCUCCGGCUGGAGAGUGCCCGCCAGAGGACCCAACUCUAUAAUUUAUUAUUGUCUGAGUACUAUUUAAUAGUUA